rnacentral:rRNA from 1 species
AACGAACGCUGGCGGCAUGCCUAACACAUGCAAGUCGAACGAGACCUUCGGGUCUAGUGGCGCACGGGUGCGUAACGCGUGGGAACCUUCCCUUAGGUUCGGAAUAACUCCCCGAAAGGGGUGCUAAUACCGGAUAAUGUCUUCGGACCAAAGAUUUAUCGCCUUUGGAUGGGCCCGCGUUGGAUUAGCUAGUUGGUAGGGUAAAAGCCUACCAAGGCGAAGAUCCAUAGCUGGUCUGAGAGGAUGAUCAGCCACACUGGGACUGAGACACGGCCCAGACUCCUACGGGAGGCAGCAGUGGGGAAUAUUGGACAAUGGGCGAAAGCCUGAUCCAGCAAUGCCGCGUGAGUGAUGAAGGCCUUAGGGUUGUAAAGCUCUUUUACCCGGGAUGAUAAUGACAGUACCGGGAGAAUAAGCCCCGGCUAACUCCGUG